rnacentral:rRNA from 1 species
UACUCCUAUGGGAGGCAGCAGUGGGGAAUAUUGGACAAUGGGCGCAAGCCUGAUCCAGCCAUACCGCGUGGGUGAAGAAGGCCUUCGGGUUGUAAAGCCCUUUUGUUGGGAAAGAAAUCCAGCUGGUUAAUACCCGGUUGGGAUGACGGUACCCAAAGAAUAAGCACCGGCUAACUUCGUGCCAGCAGCCGCGGUAAUACGAAGGGUGCAAGCGUUACUCGGAAUUACUGGGCGUAAAGCGUGCGUAGGUGGUCGUUUAAGUCCGUUGUGAAAGCCCUGGGCUCAACCUGGGAACUGCAGUGGAUACUGGGCGACUAGAGUGUGGUAGAGGGUAGCGGAAUUCCUGGUGUAGCAGUGAAAUGCGUAGAGAUCAGGAGGAACAUCCAUGGCGAAGGCAGCUACCUGGACCAACACUGACACUGAGGCACGAAAGCGUGGGGAGCAAACAGGAUUAGAUACCCUGGUAGUCCACGCCCUAAACGAUGCGAACUGGAUGUUGGGUGCAAUUUGGCACGCAGUAUCGAAGCUAACGCGUUAAGUUCGCCGCCUGGGGAGUACGGUCGCAAGACUGAAACUCAAAGGAAUUGACGGA